AGCAGCCGCGGUAAUUCCAGCUCCAAUAGCGUAUAUUAAAGUUGUUGCAGUUAAAAAGCUCGUAGUUGAAUUUCGGGGUUAGUAGGUCGGUCAUGCCACUGGUAUGUACUGGUCUCACUGAUUCCUCCUUCCUGAUGAACCGUAAUGCCAUUAAUUUGGUGUUGCGGGGAGACUGGACUGUUACUUUGAAAAAAUUAGAGUGUUUAAAGCAGGCUAACGCUUGAAUACAUUAGCAUGGAAUAAUGAAAUAGGACGUUCGAUCCUAUUUUGUUGGUUUCUAGGAUUGACGUAAUGAUUAAUAGGGAUAGUUGGGGGCAUUAGUAUUCAAUUGUCAGAGGUGAAAUUCUUGGAUUUAUUGAAGACUAACUACUGCGAAAGCAUUUGCCAAGGAUGUUUUCAUUAAUCAAGAACGAAAGUUAGGGGAUCGAAGACGAUCAGAUACCGUCGUAGUCUUAACCAUAAACUAUGCCGACUAGGGAUCGGAUGAUGUUAAUUUUUAAUGACUCAUUCGGCGCCUUAA
rnacentral:rRNA from 1 species